AUAAUAAUAACAAUAAAGAAGAAUGCAGUCCAGAGAAAGUAAUGAAUUUGUCUGAAAGUAAUCGGUAAAGAAAGGCCAAUGAAACAUGAUGAUUAUCAAAUUAGAUCAUCUGAUUUAUUUGAAAGAAAAAAAGAAAAAUAUGUACAAAUAAAAUGGGAGCUUUUGCCCCAUCAGAGGAUGACAAUAAAUUGUAUGUACACAUCUGUACAAGAGUUAUAUUUGUAUAACCAACUUUUGAGAAUUGAGAGGAUACCUUUUAAAAGUCAAAGUACUUGGGAUCCGAUGGAUAA
rnacentral:misc_RNA from 1 species